AAAUGAAUAGACGGGGACCCGCACAAGCGGUGGAGCAUGUGGUUUAAUUCGAAGCAACGCGAAGAACCUUACCAAGUCUUGACAUCCCCCUGACCGGACAGUAAUGUGUCCUUUCCUUCGGGACAGGGGAGACAGGUGGUGCAUGGUUGUCGUCAGCUCGUGUCGUGAGAUGUUGGGUUAAGUCCCGCAACGAGCGCAACCCUUAUCCUUAGUAGCCAGCAGUAAGAUGGGCACUCUAGGGAGACUGCCAGGGAUAACCUGGAGGAAGGUGGGGAUGACGUCAAAUCAUCAUGCCCCUUAUGAUUUGGGCUACACACGUGCUACAAUGGCGUAAACAAAGAGAAGCGAGCCUGCGAGGGGGAGCGAAUCUCAAAAAUAACGUCCCAGUUCGGACUGUAGUCUGCAACCCGACUACACGAAGCUGGAAUCGCUAGUAAUCGCGGAUCAGAAUGCCGCGGUGAAUACGUUCCCGGGUCUUGUACACACCGCCCGU
rnacentral:rRNA from 1 species